UGUCCCCUUUACCACCUUGCAACAUUUCUGGAUUCACUCCUUUUCUUUCCCAUUUUAAUUUCCCAUUAUUUUACCAGCUCUGCCUUUGAGUACAAACUGGUUCGGUCUUAAGGGAAAAUCUACACACCAGGGAACAACCACAUUUCUGGCCUUCUUCCUCCAGAACAACUGAUCAACACAGUGAGGAAGGUAUUCUCAUGAUUCCCGUCUGACCGAUGGAGAAACUGAGCUUCAAAGAUGUGAAGGAUCUUCAAAGUCAGAUCUGACUGGGCCUAAACUCCAAAGCUGAUCUUCUGAUAACAGAAGCAAGUUGGAUUGGUCCCCAUGCCUGCAUUUCUGGACAAUUAGGAUCACCCCAUGCCUCAGGCUUCCAUAUUUUCCUACUUUGACAUUCCUGAGAAAUCUCAUCAAAAAGCAACUUAAAUCUUGGCUCUUAGAAGAAAGGAUGUCUCCCCUACCUGCCAGA
rnacentral:lncRNA from 13 species